UACGAAGGGGGCUAGCGUUGCUCGGAAUCACUGGGCGUAAAGCGCACGUAGGCGGAUUGCUAAGUCAGGGGUGAAAUCCUGGAGCUCAACUCCAGAACUGCCUUUGAUACUGGCGACCUUGAGUCCGGGAGAGGUGAGUGGAACUGCGAGUGUAGAGGUGAAAUUCGUAGAUAUUCGCAAGAACACCAGUGGCGAAGGCGGCUCACUGGCCCGAUACUGACGCUGAGGCACGAAAGCGUGGGGGGCAAACAGG
rnacentral:rRNA from 1 species